rnacentral:rRNA from 1 species
CCCUUAGAUGUUCUGGGACGCACGCGCGCUACACUGACGAAUGCAACGAGCUUAUAACCUUGGCCGAAAGGUCUGGGUAAUCUCCAAAUUUCGUCGUGAUGGGGAUAGAUUAUUGCAAUUAUUAAUCUUCAACGAGGAAUGCCUAGUAAGCGCAAGUCAUCAGCUUGCGUUGAUUACGUCCCUGCCCUUUGUACACACCGCCCGUCGCUCCUACCGAUUGAAUGGUCCGGUGAAGCGUUCGGACCGUGGCCUUUGGACGGUUCGCCGUCUGUUGGCUGCGGGAAGUUCGUUAAACCUUAUCAUUUAGAGGAAGGAGAAGUCGUAACA